GGUCUGGAAUCCGAGACCUUAAAGGCAGAUUAUUCACAGGGGGAUGGUUACCCCCCUAAAAUAACCUA
ncrna:unclassified sequences GP20-b RNA